UUUUAGCCCUGAUAGCAGUGGAAAUCCUUUUCCUUUUUUCUUUAAAAAAGAAAAGAUUACUUCACACUACUUUUAUUUUAAUCAGAGUUCAGUGAAUUUUAUUUGCAACGAAUAGCAGGAUUAGCU
rnacentral:sRNA from 1 species